rnacentral:misc_RNA from 1 species
UCCCUCGACUAUCUUUCGUCUCCAUCAUCAGACUGUAAUGGCACUUGUAACUCAUAUAGGUGCAAGGUUCUCAUCAAUAGAAACGAAUUAAGUUCAAAAACCAGGUAAUUGCUAUAAAUUGUUGAGAAGUUCCCUCUACUAUCUUUCUUCUCCAUCAUCAGAUCGACUCCAGACCUUUAUUAAAAAGUAGUGCUUUAUAGUACUUAAUGAAAACAUGAUUAAAUUUACUAG